rnacentral:rRNA from 1 species
GGGGAAUUUUGGACAAUGGGCGCAAGCCUGAUCCAGCCAUGCCGCGUGUCUGAAGAAGGCCUUCGGGUUGUAAAGGACUUUUGUCAGGGAAGAAAAGGGCGGGGUUAAUACCCCUGUCUGAUGACGGUACCUGAAGAAUAAGCACCGGCUAACUACGUGCCAGCAGCCGCGGUAAUACGUAGGGUGCGAGCGUUAAUCGGAAUUACUGGGCGUAAAGCGGGCGCAGACGGUUACUUAAGCAGGAUGUGAAAUCCCCGGGCUCAACCUGGGAACUGCGUUCUGAACUGGGUGACUAGAGUGUGUCAGAGGGAGGUAGAAUUCCACGUGUAGCAGUGAAAUGCGUAGAGAUGUGGAGGAAUACCGAUGGCGAAGGCAGCCUCCUGGGAUAACACUGACGUUCAUGCCCGAAAGCGUGGGUAGCAAACAGGAUUAGAUACCCUGGUAGUCCACGCCCUAAACGAUGUCGAUUAGCUGUUGGGCAGCUUGACUGCUUAGUAGCGAAGCUAACGCGUGAAAUCGACCGCCUGGGGAGUACGGUCGCAAGAUUA